UUGAACGCUGGCGGCAUGCCUUACACAUGCAAGUCGAACGGUAACAGGUCUUCGGAUGCUGACGAGUGGCGAACGGGUGAGUAAUAUAUCGGAACGUGCCCAGUCGUGGGGGAUAACGCAGCGAAAGCUGUGCUAAUACCGCAUACGAUCUAAGGAUGAAAGCGGGGGAUCGCGAGACCUCGCGCGAUUGGAGCGGCUGAUAUCAGAUUAGCUAGUUGGUGGGGUAAAAGCUUACCAAGCCGACGAUCUGUAGCUGGUCUGAGAGGACGACCAGCCACACUGGGACUGAGACACGGCCCAGACUCCUACGGGAGGCAGCAGUGGGGAAUUUUGGACAAUGGGGGAAACCCUGAUCCAGCCAUGCCGCGUGCAGGAUGAAGGCCUUCGGGUUGUAAACUGCUUUUGUACGGAACGAAAAGAUCUCUUCUAAUAAAGGAGAUUCAUGACGGUACCGUAAGAAUAAGCACCGGCUAACUACGU
rnacentral:rRNA from 1 species